UUAGAAGGUAAUUAGGUCAUAAUGGUGGAGCCCGCACGAAUGGGCCAAAAAACUAGGUGGCUCUAUUCCCACCAUGUGAGGGCACAUGUAAAUCAAGAAGAGGACACUUGCAAAGAACCACACUAUGUGGGCACCCUGAUUUCGGACUUCUAAUCUCCAGGACUGUGAGAAAUAAAUGUUUGCUGUUUAUGCCACCCAAGUCCAAGUUCUGAAGGCUAGAAGUCCAAGAUCAAGGUGCCAACAGGUUGCUUUUGGUGAGGGUUCUCCUGGCUUGCAGUCACCCUCUUGCUGUCCUCAAGUGGCCUUUCCUCUGUGCACAUGUGCUGUUCCAGUAUCUGAACUUCUGCUCUACUAUCAUCAAUGAUGGAAAGAAGCUACAAAGGAAGAGGUUAAAUUGAAAGGCUCCCAAUGACGUAACCAGAGAUGGACUUUACAGUAACAUGAGUGGACAAUACACGCUUUUCUGAGAACCUACAAGUUCAAGUUCAACAGCAUGACACUAAUAAAAAAAAAAACAAACUACUUGAUGAUCUAUCAGUAGCAAGACUGCCAUUCUCUAUUGGACCAGGCUCCCACCUGACUUCCUGGAAGUGUGCUAGGAUUUAAGAACGGUAAUUCUAGCCCCAGGUAACACGGAGCCAAAGCAGGUAACACAGCUUAGAGCUGAGCUUGCUGAAAGUCCAGAGGGCACCGCUGCAAGGUUACAGGCAGCACUGCAUGCCCACAUGCUGCGUUUCAACCCGUGUUCCACAGCAGCAAACCCAAAACAGGCCCCAAGUGAACUGGGAAAGAACAACUCAAACAUUCAAAACACUUUCUGAAAAUUAGUUUGCAUUAUGACUUCUUCUAAAAUGUUCAGCCCUGAGUAAGCAAGGAAGGUCACAGGAUUUUGUUCCGAUUAUACUCAGGAAAUCCUUUUGCUAAAAUUUGAAAAAUGUGAAAACUCACAAAUGGUCAACCAUGCAAAUUUCACUUUGCCUCUUCUCUCCUUAACAUCUCUACAUGAUCGGAGACAGCUAAGUCAACUGGUUGCACUGAACCAGAGCCAACAAGACUGCAGACACAGCAACCUCAGAAGGGUUUACACUGCAGGAAGGGGGAGCAGUGAGCCGCAGGUACAGGGUGCUCCUACAAGUCCACUGCUGCUGCCAGCCUCCUCGCCUCACUCAUGCCCCAGGUGCUGCUUCAGAUCACUGCGUUACCAUUACCACUUCUCAGAAGAGGGGUGCUUCGGAAUGAGAUUUUUUGGAAAAGAGAAAAAGGAGAACAGAAGGUACCAACAGGAUCGAAGCUUCAAAGGCAUAGAGAGCACCCAAAAAAGAUAUAGGACCCAGCAAUAUAAGUCAUCAACUGGUAUACAAGCCAUACCAGGAAGGUAGGGAGAAAUGUAUCAAAAAUGGAAAAAUAUGAUAAAAUCAAAAGAAUGAAUGAAACAGAAUUGCUGAGACCGUUAAAACACACCAGGCCAACUCAGCCAGCGCCUUUAUCUACUUCUAUCAGAAAUCUCUGCCAGAAAGGAAAGAGCAGGGUUGUCCCAGGUCAGCGGACAAGGUUUUUUGGAGCCUAUUACAGAGCUUGGCACAUGGUAAGUACUUAAUAUUUGCUGAAUAAAUGAAUAGCAGAUCGAUGUUUGUACUUCAUUUUCUGCUCUGAUUUACUUACAGCUGUUAGCUCAUGGAAAGCAAUGUGAUUUUUCUUUUCUUUAUAGGAGAUUUUUAUACGGAAAAAGACACAUCAGCAGGUAGGGAAGGCAGCUCAUGGACCUUCUGUAGCCACUAGAAAUGAAUCCACAAAACAAAAACAAAAAAUCUGCCCAAAGGGAACUUUGAUAUUCAAGCAGUAAGUUUUAGACCCAAGUAAACAUCUUGCUUCUUCGAACACCCACUACUUGUAGAUUUUAGGGACAUGAAGAGAAGGUCAGGGCAGAUGCUCUGGAAUAUCACAUAGCCUGCUGCCAAUUUCUCAGCAUUUUUCCAACAUAACUUUGUUAGAAAAUAAUAUAAAAAGGCAGCAAUCAUCUCCUAGCGUGGUCUGUGCCAUUCACACCUAGAUUGCCCCUUCCCUUGGUGCACUAUGACUCAAUCUAUACUAUGCCUAUCAUAUAACUUCUUGGAAAGUAAGAGUUUUCAAAAAUCUACAUUAAAAAAUGUAAAUUUUCAUAUACAGAAAAAAGUAGUCCCAUUGGCCCUUAACUAAUAAUCUCCUGAAGGCCAAACAAAAGCAGGUAUAGCUGCUUCUGUUUUACAUUUUCUACUUCCUUUGCCCACAGACCAACUAGCCAUAGGAAGAACCAAGCAGCUCCAUUCUAUAAUUCACUUAUUCUUAGCAAAGAUCUGAGAACAGAAGGCCAGAGAAACAGGGAGCAGCUGCCGCCUGAUCUUCUUAUUAAUGCCCUGGGCUCAUUCCCCAUCCUCCUCCUAAUUGUUUCAAACUCCUUUUCGCAACAACCUCUAAGCACCAGCUCAUGGGAAGAAAUAACAAGGAAAAGCUGCCUUCUCUGUGUCAACACCCACUGUGGUAGAACCGUCUACAUCACAUCUGAGAUGAUGUAAUUAGAAAUUAAAAUAGGCGAGCCUUACAUUCCAUUUUCAAUUGUUAAUCUGCUUUACUUUGGAUUCCAACUAAUGAAACUCCUUACAUGUGGCCCUACAGUGAUGCCUAUAGGCACUGCAGGGUUUGGGGGCGGUUUUGGGGCGGGGGGUGUUUUGUUUGUUUUAAUUACACAAUUUCCAUCUCUUGAGUCAAACAACAAUCUUGGUCUUGCUACUUAAGCCAACAGAUAUAUAAAAUAAUGGUUGCUGAUGAAUUAGUCAUCAGAUAUUCAGAUUCCAAGACCCAAAGAAUCUAAGUUAUUAUAGCCAAAAAGCUCAGUUUCUGCAACACUCAAUGCUAACUUUUAAGGACAAAAAAGCAGCAUGGUGGUUAAGAAAAUUGGACUUAGCUGAAAUCUCAGCUCUGCCACUUACUUAUUAGCUGUGAGAUCUUGAGUACAUUUCUUAACCCCUGCAGACUUUCAGAGACAAUGACAGGACUGACCUCAUAGGUUGUCAUCAGGACUAGGGGAGAUAGUCCACAUAAGAACUCAAUAAAUAUCAGCUGUGACUGUAACAAUGAAUGCCCCAUGCCUGAAAAAUAUCACUUAAAAUAAGAGUUUUCCAAAAGUUAGGACUUAAGAUGAAACUUAACAGGAAAAUGCUGCUUCUCUUAAGACCCACAUGACAAUACUAUGUAAGUAAAGAGGCCCAGCCCAGGUCAAAAUGUUAAUUUUUCCACUUACUCUAACUCCAAGAAUAUUCUUUUAAAAAUAUCCAUCAACUUGUACAAAUUAUUCUGAUUCAUCUCACUAAUUUAUGGUCUGAAAAGAGGGAGUUUCAAACCAGAGGGCUGUUCGCUGUAAAGCAAGCCCCAAGGAGAGGUCAGCCCUGGCCACAGCCUGGCAGUCUCAUGGAGGAAGGAGAAAGGAGCUGGCGGAUCCAUCACCCCACAGGUGUCACCAAGAGAGAAAAUGCUGGGCCACCUCUGUGCCCUGAAGUGUCAACAAAGUCCCUGCCCACUCGGCACCAGCUGGGCCCCAGUUUGUUGACCUUCUGGGCACAGUGAAAAAUCAUUCAUUAAAUAGGGCAAAAAGUACUGCAGGGACAUGUGCUAUUUUUAUAUAAAUAACACAAGCAAAGAUUAUUAAUGUUAAGAGCUGCACAUUAUUUGCAAAUGAGACAUGGAAAUUUGGUAAUUUGGAUUUAAGAAUAACUUGUUAACUACAUGCUGCAAAUUAUCCUUUUCCUCCAUUGUAAACUACAAUAGCUACUACAGCUAACACUACUUAAUUUGGAACUUGUGAAAAAUUGUCUUUGGAAGAUGGUCAUGUAACUCGGAAAGGCUCUUUCAAAAAAAUAAUUCCACCACUUCAAUUCCUUCCAGCAAAUCUCUGAGUCUGUAUACAAUAUCACAGUCAAUACAAGCUGUCAAGACAGGGAUACUCUGAAUAAAUGCUCUGGAGGAUUUCAUCUGGAUCCUGUACUUCCCUAAAAUAAAGCCAGGCUGGUUUUUACUGUAAAAGAACUAGGAAGAACAGGCAGAAUUCAAGGUGAAAUACCUCCACUCCUACCAAGGGAAGCCAAGGACAACCAUCCGGGAAGAACCCCCAAAUGUUGAGAACCAUGACAACAGUGGUGAUUCAAGAUUAGAAAAGACCCCCCAGCCUUCUAUAAGCUGAUUCACAAAGUACAGUACAUGGAUUUUGGUCAUCAGAUUAUUUUUCAAAGUCUGCCUAACCCUCAAUCAUGUCUGAAUUCAUUUCUAAAAAUUGAGAACGAUCAUUAUCCAUAACUUACCUCCUACUCCAACCCAAACCCAAAGAUAUGCUCAUUUUGUAAUUGCCAAAUGACAUU